rnacentral:rRNA from 1 species
CAAUAUGAAGGUCAGGCUGAAGACCUUACCCGAUUAGCUGAGAGGUGGUGCAUGGCCGUCGUCAGUUCGUACUGUGAAGCAUCCUGUUAAGUCAGGCAACGAGCGAGACCCACGUCCACAGUUGCCAGCAUACCCUCCGGGGUGAUGGGUACACUGUGGAGACCGCCGCUGCUAAAGCGGAGGAAGGAGUGGGCAACGGUAGGUCAGUAUGCCCCGAAUCUCCCGGGCUACACGCGGGCUACAAUGGUUGGUACAAUGGGCAUCUACCCCGAAAGGGGAAGGAAAUCUCUUAAAGCCAAUCGUAGUUCGGAUUGAGGGCUGCAACUCGCCCUCAUGGAGCUGGAAUCCGUAGUAAUCGCGUUUCAACAGAACGCGGUGAAUACGUCCCUGCUCCUU